rnacentral:rRNA from 1 species
GAUGAACGCUGGCGGCGUGCCUAAUACAUGCAAGUCGAGCGAAUGGAUUAAGAGCUUGCUCUUAUGAAGUUAGCGGCGGACGGGUGAGUAACACGUGGGUAACCUGCCCAUAAGACUGGGAUAACUCCGGGAAACCGGGGCUAAUACCGGAUAACAUUUUGAACCGCAUGGUUCGAAAUUGAAAGACGGCUUCGGCUGUCACUUAUGGAUGGACCCGCGUGGGAUUAGCUAGUUGGUGAGGUAACGGCUCACCAGGCAACGAAGCGUAGCCGACCUGAGAGGGUGAUCGGCCACACUGGGACUGAGAAACGGCCCAGACUCCUACGGGAGGCAGCAGUAGGGAAUCUUCCGCAAUGGACGAAAGUCUGACGGAGCAACGCCGCGUGAGUGAUGAAGGCUUUCGGGUCGUAAAACUCUGUUGUUAGGGAAGAACAAGUGCUAGUUGAAUAAGCUGGCACCUUGACGGUACCUAACCAGAAAGCCACGGCUAACUACGUGCCAGCCGCCGCCGUAA